GUGUAACAGAAGGAGCUCCCUUCCUCCAAAACGAGGAGGACAUGAUUUGAGGAACUAAAAAGCAAAAUCUAAGAGUUCAUGGAUUCCUCAUAGAGAGUGCGUAGGUUAACGUACAUCUUGAAGAAAGCACACUUUAAGGGGACUGCAUGACCUCUUAGAUUCUCUCUCUCUCUCUCUCUUUCUCUAUACAUCCUUCUCUUCUCUUCGUUUGGAUUGAAGGGAGCUCCUUUUCUUCUUUCU